rnacentral:tRNA from 2 species
UGGGCUCGUGGUCUAGCUGGUUAUGACAUCGCCUUCACACGGCGAAGGUCCGGAGUUCGAAUCUCCGCGAGCCCAUC